GAUAUUCAACUGUUUUGUUUAGGCGAAGCGGUGUACUUAUCGUCUGUAUGCGCUGAGACUCUUGAUUGAAUAUUCUAAACCGUAGUAUUGUUGCCCAUCAUCUUCGGAUGAUGGUGUCUUGUGCUUGCGGGUUGGGAUAUUUCGAUUAAGUAAUUUCGGUGUGAAAGUCGACCACCUAUCCGACCCGUCUUGAAACACGGACCAAGGAGUCUAGCGUAUGUGCGAGUCAUUGGGUGGUAAACCUAUUGGCGUAACGAAAGUAAAGGUCGUCUUGUGCGGCUGAUAUGGGAUCCGUGCGGUUUCGAUCGUACGGCGCACCAUAGCCCUGUCUCGAAGGCUUGCCUUGAGAUGGAGGUAGAGCACAUGCGCUAGGACCCGAAAGAUGGUGAACUAUACGUGAGCAGGAUGAAGCCGGAGGAAACUCUGGUGGAAGUCCGUAACGGUUCUGACGUGCAAAUCGAUCGUCUGAC
rnacentral:rRNA from 1 species